UUCCGGUUGAUCCCGCCGGAAGCCACUGCUAUUGGGAUCCGACUAAGCCAUGCGAGUCGAGAGGGUUCGGCCCUCGGCAGACUGCUCAGUAACACGUGGAUAAUCUACCCUUAGGUGGAGGAUACUCUCGGGAAACUGAGAAUAAUACUCCAUAGAUCCAGGAUGCUGGAAUGCACCUAGAUUGAAAGUUCCGGCGCCUAAGGAUGAGUCUGCGGACUAUCAGGUAGUAGUCAGGGUAAAGACCUGACUAGCCUACGACGGAUACGGGUUGUGAGAGCAAUAGCCCGGAGACGAUAUCUGAGACACGAUAUCGGGCCCUACGGGGCGCAGCAGGCGCGAAAUCUUCACAAUGUGCGAAAGCACGAUGAGGGGAUCCCAAGUGUUGGUUCGUAAGAAUCAUCUGUUUCUUUGUCUAAAAAACAGAGAGAGUAAGAGCUGGGUAAGACGGGUGCCAGCCGCCGCGGUAAUACCUGCAGCUCAAGUGGUGGCCGCUAUUAUUGGGCCUAAAACGUCCGUAGCCGGUUUAGUAAAUGCUUGGGUAAAUUGUGUAGCUCAACUAUACGAAUACCGAGUAGACUGCUGAACUUGGGACCGGGAGAGGCUAGAGGUACUCCUAGGGUAGAGGUGAAAUUCUGUAAUCCUAGGGGGACCACCAGUGGCGAAGGCGUCUAGCCAGAACGGGUCUGACGGUGAGGGACGAAGCCCUGGGGCGCAAACCGGAUUAGAUACCCGGGUAGUCCAGGGUGUAAGCGCUGCUCGCUUGAUGUUAGUUGGGCUCCGAGCCCAACUAGUGUCGGAGAGAAGUUGUUUAGCGAGCUGCCUGGGAAGUACGGUCGCAAGGCUGAAACUUAAAGGAUUUGGCGGGGAGCACAGCACGGGUGGAGCGUGGCGGUUAAAUGGAGUCACGCGGGA
rnacentral:rRNA from 1 species